AAUGUCCUGCUUUCCUUCCAUAUAUACAGAAACAAGCACUGCAUGAGGCAUUUCUGCAUGUCAUAUAUAGGGCCAAGAUGCCAUAUAUGCUUUAAUGAUGCACUGGAAUAACGGAAACUUCUCACUCUCCCAUUGAAGAGCAAGACAUCUGUAACAAAAGCAGCUCUGAGUAUUACGUGACCCUCUGUCACAAUCCGGCCAGCCUACUAAAUGAUUUACAGAAAUGUACAAGUAAUCUGAACCAGAGAACUGAACCAGAGGAUUAUAUGGGGUCCUAAGUAUGAUGAUUCUGGAAAGAAAGGCACAAAAGGAAUUCUAGCAACUUUAUCUGAUCUUGAAGGUAAAUAAUUGAUUUGAAUGUUUGACCCAGGAUAUAAUGAAGAAAGUGCUUGUGCUUAUUAACCAUCCCUUUCCUAAUGCACCUCUGUAUGUAAGAAUUCAC
rnacentral:lncRNA from 11 species